GGGGAAUAUUGCACAAUGGGCGAAAGCCUGAUGCAGCGACGCCGCGUGAGGGAUGACGGCCUUCGGGUUGUAAACCUCUUUCAGCAGGGACGAAGCGCAAGUGACGGUACCUGCAGAAGAAGCACCGGCUAACUACGUGCCAGCAGCCGCGGUAAUACGUAGGGUGCAAGCGUUGUCCGGAAUUACUGGGCGUAAAGAGUUCGUAGGCGGUUUGUCGCGUCGUUUGUGAAAACCAGCAGCUCAACUGCUGGCUUGCAGGCGAUACGGGCAGACUUGAGUACUGCAGGGGAGACUGGAAUUCCUGGUGUAGCGGUGAAAUGCGCAGAUAUCAGGAGGAACACCGGUGGCGAAGGCGGGUCUCUGGGCAGUAACUGACGCUGAGGAACGAAAGCGUGGGUAGCGAACA
rnacentral:rRNA from 1 species